rnacentral:lncRNA from 1 species
AUGAUUCACACCGCGUUCUGAACAAUGUCACGAUGAGGGCUCUGCCCAUACCUGUCCUGGAGGUAGCAAAGAAAGAGACAUCCUCCUGCCAAGGAGGCAGCUCAGACACCAGGCAUCCAACACGCAUUCAGUGCAUCAGAAACCCUGGCAUGAAUAGGAGUAUUUUUGAAGAAUUGAAACAAAACCAACUCAGCUUUCAUUGGGUUUUAGCUCAAUCUGCACACUAUUAACCUACAGAUACUCCUUCUCCAUCAGCAUUUCUAUUUGGAAGCAGCCAAGAAAUUAAAGGAUCCACGCCUCUGAGAAAGCUCAGACCACUCUCAAUUUGUGAGCAAACAGAACAGGCAGAAUUGGAAUUCCAGAGGUGGACGAUCAGAAGUGAACUCGGCGCAGAUGUUUUAUUGAGUCAUGCAGACAUUUUAUAAAUCAGCCAAGGCAAAAUUAUUGUUAAGAAAGCAAUUUUAAACCAAAAUAAAGGCUGUAGAAGCCAACCUAGUCAGAGCCUUAAAGAAAAACUCAGAGGCUGGAACACAGGGUUUUGGCUGCUGCCCACGACCAGAGUCCUGCCGUGAGAGCAGCCAAGGACCACCCGACCGCUGGAACACCUACAGGGGACAGCCACAAUCCCACCCAACAAGUCCCCAGACACACGCAUGUCACUGCAAGAUCCCCUCUCCUUCUGCCGUGCCCCGGCACUCAGGCUCCUGUCCUGCAGCUGACAAACUGGGUCAGGGUAAUCUCCAGCAAUCCAGCUAAGCCAGCUUUCUGCCCGCUCUGCAUUUUCAGUAGCAAUGCAGAGCAGAUGCAACGGGGGUCAGGAUCUGGCCCCCCACACGCAUAGUUUUAAAGACUACAUUCAGCAGAAGCUAUUGCGAGGAGGAAGAAUUGCUGAGCCCAAGUCAUUCCUCUGACCUUGAAUGCUUUAAAACAUAAUAUUUGGCUGGCUACAGAAAACACGUGGCAGAACCUUCAUGUUUCUGGCAGGUUUGUCCAACAACACAAAAAAAGAAGAAAAAUAAUUGAGCUUUUAUUCCACCUCUCUGCUACGCACAUCCCUGCAGCCACAUAAGCUGCUCUCACUUGAAUUUUAAGAGCUGAAUACAUCUGAUAACUGUAUUUGCUCAGCAGAAAUGCCAACAAGGUCCCAAUCGAAAACAAACACCGCAGUCUGCAGGUUUGGGGCAAACAGGAAAGUGCCCCCAUUAAAAGUUCAUGCUCAGAGUGAAAUCGGAAGGGUCAAAAUGAUCAGUUAUUUAAAAAAUACAAAAAGGUUCAGGACAGACUUCAGUAGCACAAAACAUUCACCCAGUAAUUCCUACCUUGCCUUGCAGCAGCAGAAUUUUUUCUCCCAAUGCUCAAACAAUUAUAAGCCUUUACCUGAAUACAAGGCUUUUGCAGCACCAUUCGGGGGGAGAAAAGUUUAUUUUCAGAGUUCUAGUUUCCAGUCUGACCUAAAUUCAGCCCACAGGCAUAGCUGUUUUCUUGUUUAAAAGACAGGACUAACUCAUUCACCUCCCCAGCCUCCUGCACACGCUAAGGAUCUCCAGCAGUAUUUGCAGGGGUGACAACACAUCCAACAGAAGGAACACAGCAGAGGGUUUCCUGCUUUCCCCAUCCUGCCAGUUGCUCUUAUUGCAUCCAACUCCCUCCUGAGCCUUUCCUACGGACACGUUAUAAAAGACUCCUCCUAGUAUAGCUAGCAGGGCUUCAAGCCCUCAACCUGCAGAGCGAGUGCAAGCUUACAAGGGGUGCUCAGUCCCUGGUCCUUCCCCACAGACAGAUGAUGCUGUGGGCAUGCAGGUGAAGAGCCUAAGUACAUUUCACUCUACCAGCUCAGCUCUACAGUUGGUUACUUGCAGCUGAAAGACAGCAGCAAGCAGCAGUGGGAGGUAGCUUUACCGGACUUUCUAUCUGCUCCUGUAGACAGAUAUCACAGCAAAUGUGUUUCUAGAGGUCUCAAAGCAGGAAAAGGGUCACGAUGGCUGGGACAAUGAUAGCUAUUGCCCUACUUCCUUCAUCGGAGGUAAAUCCCACAGCUGUCCUCUAAAGCUUCUCUGCAGCUAAGCAGGACCUGUAACUCCUUCUUCCCCUGCUGAGUGAUCAAUUAGCCCCAGGCAAUCUCCUUCCUUUUAAGUAACUGGCAAUUCUGCUGUUCAAGGCACCUGUGCUCUGUGCUCAGCAAAUCCGCUGCCA